GCAGUCGUGGCCGAGUGGUCAAGGCGAUGGACUCGAAAUCCAUUGGGGUUUCCCGCGUAGUUCGAAUCCUACCGCUGCU
rnacentral:tRNA from 13 species